rnacentral:rRNA from 1 species
UACGUAGGGCGCGAGCGUUGUCCGGAUUUAUUGGGCGUAAAGAGCUCGUAGGCGGCUUGUCGCGUCGUCCGUGAAAACCUGCAGCUCAACUGCAGGCUUGCGGUCGAUACGGGCAGGCUAGAGUUCGGUAGGGGAGACUGGAAUUCCUGGUGUAGCGGUGAAAUGCGCAGAUAUCAGGAGGAACACCGGUGGCGAAGGCGGGGUCUCUGGGGCCGAUACUGACACUGAGAGACGAAAAGCUAGGGGGAGCGAAAUGGGG